ACAGAGGGUGCAAACGUUGUUCGGAAUUACUGGGCGUAAAGCGCGUGUAGGCUGCUCCGCAAGUCGGAUGUGAAAGCCCUGGGCUCAACCUAGGAAGUGCAUUCGAUACUGCGGAGCUGGAGUCCUGGAGAGGAAGGCGGAAUUCUCGGUGUAGAGGUGAAAUUCGUAGAUAUCGAGAGGAACACCGGUGGCGAAGGCGGCCUUCUGGACAGUGACUGACGCUGAGACGCGAAAGCGUGGGGAGCAAACAGG
rnacentral:rRNA from 1 species